rnacentral:antisense_RNA from 1 species
UUUUUCACAACGAUCUUUUGUCAUCGUUAAACAGAUUAAACCACGUCCAUGAGUUGCCAUAAAGUUAAUGGCUUCAGGAGUGAUUUUCUCAGCGGCAAUAAUUA